rnacentral:rRNA from 1 species
AUUCGGAGUGUCAACCCCUUUCGACCGGGACGAAUACCUCGCAAGAGGGGUGACGGUACCGGUAUAAGAAGCCCCGGCUAACUACGUGCCAGCAGCCGCGGUAAGACGUAGGGGGCCAGCGUUGCUCGGAAUUACUGGGUGUAAAGGGUUCGUAGGCGGUGUGGCAAGUGGGGAGUGAAAUCUCUGGGCUCAACCCAGGGGCUGCUUCCGAAACUGCCGUGCUAGAGUGUGGGAGAGGCGCGUGGAAUGGCAGGUGUGAGCGGUGAAAUGCGUAGAUAUCUGCAGGAACACCCGUGGCGAAAGCGGCGCGCUGGACCACUACUGACGCUGAGGAAUGAAAGCUAGGGGAGCAAACAGGAUUAGAUACCCUGGUAGUCCUAGCCCUAAACGAUCAGGACUUGGGGUGCCACCCGUUCGGGUGUCGUCCCGGAGCUAACGCGUUAAGUCCUGCACCUGGGGAGUAGGGUCGCAAGACUGAAAC